GAUGAACGCUAGCGGGAGGCUUAACACAUGCAAGUCGAGGGGCAGCAUAGGGUAGCAAUACUCUGAUGGCGACCGGCAAACGGGUGAGUAACGCGUAUGUAACCUACCCUGUACAGGGGGAUAACCCGGAGAAAUUCGGACUAAUAUCCCAUAACAAUAUCCGGGGGCAUCUUUGGAUAUUUAAAGUUCCGGCGGUACGGGAUGGGCAUGCGUAACAUUAGCUAGUUGGUAAGGUAACGGCUUACCAAGGCUUUGAUGUUUAGGGGUCCUGAGAGGGUGGUCCCCCACACUGGUACUGAGACACGGACCAGACUCCUACGGGAGGCAGCAGUGAGGAAUAUUGGUCAAUGGGCGCAAGCCUGAACCAGCCAUCCCGCGUGCAGGAAGACGGCGCUAUGCGUUGUAAACUGCUUUUCCAGGGAGAGAAACUUGCGCACGUGUUGCGCAAUUGACGGUACCCUGGGAAUAAGCAUCGGCUAACUCCGUGCCAGCAGCCGCGGUAAACGUAGCGUG
rnacentral:rRNA from 1 species